AAAUAUAAAUUUUGUUUAUUGUUUAUUGUGUUUCAUGUUGUAUAACUUUAGUUGCUUCUGUUUUUUAUGAACUAAUUCGUAUAUGAAAUUUCAAAAUAUGUUGAGUAAGGGAACUAAAUCAAAUAUGUUUGUUACUCUACAUGGGACGAUUGAUUUCAUCAGUCUGUGUAUAUCAAAGUCUUAAGUAUCCCCGUUAAUAUAAUAAUAACACCAUUAUUGUGUAUUCAAUUUUUAAGUCAACCAUGUCAUGUCAAAUAUGACUUUAACGUCAUUGAGCUUGUUUUAUAUAGGAUUGAGCUGCUAUCCUUGAUUAUAUUCCAAUGAUUUCUUCAGUACAUUUCAUUAGAGCUCACGGUGUCGGCGUGUCCUUAACUGUUAUUUUGCAUCUCGUGUUUGCUGUCUUUAAUAGUACUUUGUGUUCCAUUUUUCAAUAUGGAAUUUUUGGGCUGGCGUGAUUGGCUGGGAUUGCUUGCAGCUUGUUUCUUUUUCUUUAGUCUGCUCUACAGUGCUAGGUUGCUAGGUAUUAGGAAAUGUCAGACCUUUGUUAAUAAGAAUUCUGCCAGCGCCUAUCUAAAACCCACCAAGGAAAAUUCGGUAGACCAUGGCGAAAAUGUGGACUCGGAAUUGGUCGUUAGCAACGAAUGAUUGAUCGGGGUUCAGUGUUGGACCUUAUACUUGUUCUAAGCUGUGUAUGGAGGUUUUACAUUCAGUCGAAACUAAUCAUCGAUUAUUGCAAGAGCAUUCUGAUGGAGGUUGGUGCCAAAAAAUGGCGUUUGAAGAUGUCCUUAAUUACUGUUCGUAUGCUUUGGUAUUUUCAUAUAUUAAAAUGUAUAUCUGGCUUCCUGUUUUCUCUUACCACGUUUCCCAUUGAUUUGUGAUAUAUUCGUAGCCGAUGAACCCUUAUCUGAUAGAACAAAUUUAGAAUAAUGGAGAAAAUAACGGGAUUGCUAUUCGUCAAGUCGCUAAAUAUCGCCUCAUAUUAAAUGUAUCAUGUGCAUUAUCUCUCCAGUUGGUCCAAUAAAACAUUUCUGACUGUUA